ACGCUGGCGGCAUGCUUUACACAUGCAAGUCGGACGGCAGCACAGAGAAGCUUGCUUCUUGGGUGGCGAGUGGCGAACGGGUGAGUAACAUAUCGGAACGUACCGAGCAGUGGGGGAUAACUAAUCGAAAGAUUAGCUAAUACCGCAUAUAUUCUGAGGAAGAAAGCAGGGGACCAUUUGGCCUUGCGCUGUUUGAGCGGCCGAUAUCUGAUUAGCUAGUUGGUGGGGUAAAGGCCUACCAAGGCGACGAUCAGUAGCGGGUCUGAGAGGAUGAUCCGCCACACUGGGACUGAGACACGGCCCAGACUCCUACGGGAGGCAGCAGUGGGGAAUUUUGGACAAUGGGCGCAAGCCUGAUCCAGCCAUGCCGCGUGUCUGAAGAAGGCCUUCGGGUUGUAAAGGACUUUUGUCAGGGAAGAAAAGGGCGGGGUUAAUACCCCUGUCUGAUGACGGUACCUGAAGAAUAAGCACCGGCUAACUACGUGCCAGCAGCCGCGGUAAUACGUAGGGUGCGAGCGUUAAUCGGAAUUACUGGGCGUAAAGCGGGCGCAGACGGUUACUUAAGCAGGAUGUGAAAUCCCCGGGCUCAACCUGGGAACUGCGUUCUGAACUGGGUGACUAGAGUGUGUCAGAGGGAGGCAGAAUUCCACGUGUAGCAGUGAAAUGCGUAGAGAUGUGGAGGAAUACCGAUGGUGAAGGCAGCCUCCUGGGAUAACACUGACGUUCAUGCCCGAAAGCGUGGGUAGCAAACAGGAUUAGGUACCCUGGUAGUCCACGCCCUAAACGAUGUCGAUUAGCUGUUGGGCAGCAUGACUGCUUAGUAGCGAAGCUAACGCGUGAAAUCGACCGCCUGGGGAGUACGGUCGCAAGAUUAAAACUCAAAGGAAUUGACGGGGACCCGCACAAGCGGUGGAUGAUGUGGAUU
rnacentral:rRNA from 1 species